GGCUCAGUGGUCUAGUGGUAUGAUUCGUGCUUCGGGUAAAACCCACACUUUCAAAGUGCUUGUGCGAGGUCUCGGGUUCAAUCCCCGACUGAGCCC
rnacentral:tRNA from 1 species